rnacentral:rRNA from 1 species
UACAGAGGUCCCAAGCGUUGUUCGGAUUCAUUGGGCGUAAAGGGUGCGUAGGUGGCGCGGUAAGUCGGGUGUGAAAUUUCGGAGCUUAACUCCGAAACUGCAUUCGAUACUGCCGUGCUUGAGGACUGGAGAGGAGACUGGAAUUUACGGUGUAGCAGUGAAAUGCGUAGAUAUCAGGAGGAAUACCGGUGGCGAAAGCGACUCUCUGGACGGUAACUGACGCUGAGGCACGAAAGCGUGGGGAGCAAACAGG